CAUUCUUUUCCCUCAUUUGUACCCACGUGUCCGUUUGCUUCUAAGCGAUGUCGACACGUUAAUCUGAUUCCAACAGUUCUCCACCCUCCAUUUUUUGGUGGGGAAUGUGCUCGAAGGCUCUUCCAUUUUCUUCCGUUGCUUUUCCCUUUCUCUUCCUCUCUGUUUCUGUGCUUUUCUCCCUGCGUAAAUCCUUCGUGUUUCCCUGCUUCUCUCCACCUCCUCCUCCGCCCAAGAACCACUGUUCAAUCUGGUUUCUCUGGCUUUUUCCGAUGGCGGCCAAGAUUUUGUCAUGGAGGAGAUGAAUGAUGGAGGUGAAUCGGAUCUUGAAUACGAUUUCUACCGCGAGACUUGCCCAGCAAUUGAGACCAUUGUGAGGUCGACGAUGGUGCAGAUUUAUUCCCACCAGAAGAAUGUCUCUGCUCAGCUGCUGCGCCUCUUCUUCCGUGACUGCUUCAUUCAGAAGAAAAACGUUGCUAAUGAUUUACCUGUGAUGAUGCAACGUUGAUAUGCUUUUGUGUCAAUUUGGCUUCAGUUAUUUGUAAAGAAACGUUGCUAAUGGUGUACCUGUGACGAUGCUACGUUGAUAUGCUUCUGUGUUAAUUUGGCUUCAGUUAUUUGUUUCUGCUGCUGAUCAGUUGCCAUCACACUAUAAACUUGGUUGCAUGGCAAGUUGGAAAUGCACAAAAGUUUGAUAACGUCCUAUAGAAUUGCCAGAGAAGGUCAUCUCCAUUUUGUGCAAAAUCAGCCUUCUUUCUGCACACAAAAACACUAGGUAAACACACUUAAUCCUUAUUUUGUUCAUGAUAUAAUUCUACUGUAUAAAUUUAUUUCAAUUUUUUUUUCCCUUGCCUGGGAUGCUUCAAGACCAACAUAGUAGAGGACAACUUUUAGUGUUGCAGUAAACAACAUUUCCCAUUAAUGUUUUUGGACAGGAAGCAAUUUGUGUUUUUUCGUAUCCAAAGAACUUUGUAAUAUUUUUAAUAGACGAAAUUGGUUUCUCUUUGGAUAUUUAAAUUUGUUUCAUUCAUGAUGAGUUUGUG